ACUCAAUUCCCCAAUUAAAAAAAAUACCCUACAGUGCUUGCCAGAACAAUUUUGAAGUGGUUUAAGGCCUUGCCCUGCUCUCUCCAGAGCAAGGUUAUAGAAAUUUCAGACAAUA
ensembl:snoRNA Gm24438 predicted gene, 24438